GAGGCAAAGCCGCGAGGCAGAGCGAAUCUCAAAAAGCCGUCCCAGUUCGGAUUGCAGGCUGCAACCCGCCUGCAUGAAGUUGGAAUCGCUAGUAAUCGCGGAUCAGCAUGCCGCGGUGAAUACGUUCCCGGGCCUUGUACACACCGCCCGUCACACCAUGGGAGUCGGGAACACCCGAAGUCCGUAGCCUAACCGCAAGGGGGGCGCGGCCGAAGGUGGGUUCGAUAAUUGGGGUGAAGUCGUAACAAGGUACC
rnacentral:rRNA from 1 species